AGUGAACGCUGGCGGUAGGCCUAACACAUGCAAGUCGAACGGCAGCACAGAGGAGCUUGCUCCUUGGGUGGCGAGUGGCGGACGGGUGAGGAAUACAUCGGAAUCUACUCUGUCGUGGGGGAUAACGUAGGGAAACUUACGCUAAUACCGCAUACGACCUACGGGUGAAAGCAGGGGAUCUUCGGACCUUGCGCGAUUGAAUGAGCCGAUGUCGGAUUAGCUAGUUGGCGGGGUAAAGGCCCACCAAGGCGACGAUCCGUAGCUGGUCUGAGAGGAUGAACAGCGACACUGGAACUGAGACACGGUCCAGACUCCUACGGGAGGCAGCAGUGGGGAAUAUUGGACAAUGGGCGCAAGCCUGAUCCAGCCAUACCGCGUGGGUGAAGAAGGCCUUCGGGUUGUAAAGCCCUUUUGUUGGGAAAGAAAUCCAUCUGGUUAAUACCCGGGUGGGAUGACGGUACCCAAAGAAUAAGCACCGGCUAACUUCGUGCCAGCCGCCGCGGUAA
rnacentral:rRNA from 1 species